CCGGUCGGCCCGCGGAGCCUGGUGCUGCGAGUGCAGCGAAGACCCCCAACAGCCCGAGCUUCUGUGGGUUUCCUCAAGAGCUUUCCGCCAUUGGCCAGUCUUUGAAAGCACUGUAGGAACGAUAAGGAACCCGAGGCUUAGAAAAAUAACCUGACAAAUACAAGUUCUCUGCUGGUGGAUAUCUGGAGAGUACACAGUGUCUCAACAUUGCAGGCAACAAUGAAAUGGACAUCUUUGAAUACAUAUAAUUGACUAGGGAACAGCCAGUAUCAAUCGCCAGACACAUGAGUGAAGAAGCCUUCAUAUUAUUCCAACUCCAGCCUUGGAGUCUUCUAGCUGAGGCUCCCUUCAUCACAGUAGAG